rnacentral:rRNA from 1 species
AUACAGAGGGUGCGAGCGUUAAUCGGAAUUACUGGGCGUAAAGCGCGCGUAGGCGGCUUAUUAAGUCAGAUGUGAAAUCCCCGGGCUCAACCUGGGAACUGCAUCUGAUACUGGUAAGCUAGAGUUUUGGAGAGGGAAGUAGAAUUUCAGGUGUAGCGGUGAAAUGCAUAGAGCUCUGAAGGAAUACCAGUGGCGAAGGCGACUUCCUGGCCAAAAACUGACGCUGAGGUGCGAAAGCGUGGGUAGCAAACGGGAUUAGAAACCCUAGUAGUCC